GUGAACACGCAUGCCGGAGGCUCAGACCUCUCCCUCCGAGCGUCUCCCACAGCCACACUGCCCAGUGCGAGAAGAACAUCACACGGGGCAGCACAAGAGAGAUUUUCUCUGAGAAGCUGUGUAAAGAGGAGACCUAAUGCCAAGCAGGGAGCAGACACCUAGUGAAACCCUCCACAACAAGAUGCGCUGCUUAUGCAGGCUGGUGAUGGUGACUGUGUUGGUAUUUGCCACACUGAUAUUUUACAAAUGGCCUCUUUGAAUCCCUCCGGAAAUGGAUCCUUUGAGGGUUGAGAUAGCAACAUAGUACUAGAAGUCCUAGCCUCAGCAAUCAGACAACAAA